rnacentral:sRNA from 1 species
UUUUUUGAUUUUUUUUU